rnacentral:tRNA from 1 species
UAGCUCAGUUGGCUAGAGCGCCGCAUUUGCACUGCGGAGGUCAAGGGUUCGAUUCCCUU